GACGAACGCUGGCGGCGUGCUUAACACAUGCAAGUCGAACGAUGAAGCAGGAGCUUGCUACUGUGGAUUAGUGGCGAACGGGUGAGCAACACGUGAGCAAUCUGCACUUGACUCUGGGAUAACUGCGGGAAACUGUAGCUAAUACCGGAUAUGAACACUUGGGGCAUCCCAGGGGUUGGAAAGAAUUUCGGUCAAGGAUGAGCCCGCGGCCUAUCAGCUAGUUGGUGAGGUAAGGGCUCACCAAGGCGAAGACGGGUAGCCGGCCUGAGAGGGUGACCGGCCACACUGGAACUGAGACACGGUCCAGACUCCUACGGGAGGCAGCAGUGGGGAAUAUUGCACAAUGGGCGAAAGCCUGAUGCAGCAACGCCGCGUGAGGGAUGAAGGACUUCGGGUUGUAAACCUCUUUUAGCAGGGAAGAAGCGAAAGUGACGGUACCUGCAGAAAAAGCACCGGCUAACUACGUGCCAGCAGCCGCCGCGG
rnacentral:rRNA from 1 species